rnacentral:rRNA from 1 species
UACGUAGGGUGCGAGCGUUAAUCGGAAUUACUGGGCGUAAAGCGUGCGCAGGCGGUUUUGUAAGCCAGAUGUGAAAGCCCCGGGCUUAACCUGGGAAUGGCAUUUGGGACUGCAAGGCUUGAGUGCGGCAGAGGAGACUGGAAUUCCUGGUGUAGCAGUGAAAUGCGUAGAUAUCAGGAGGAAUACCGAUGGCGAAGGCGGGACUCUGGGCCGAUACUGACGCUGAGGAGCGAAAGCGUGGGGAGCAAACAGG